rnacentral:rRNA from 1 species
GNAUUUAUUGGGCGUAAAGGGAGCGCAGGCGNUCAGGAAAGUCUGGAGUAAAAGGCUAUGGNUCAACCAUAGUGUGCUCUGGAAACUNUCUGACUUGAGUGCAGAAGGGGAGAGUGGAAUUCCAUGUGUAGCGGUGAAAUGCGUAGAUAUAUGGAGGAACACCAGUGGCGAAAGCGGCUCUCUGGUCUGUCACUGACGCUGAGGCUCGAAAGCGUGGGUAGCGAACAGGAUUAGAUACCCUGGUAGUNCACGCCGUAAACGAUGAGUGCUAGGUGUUAGGCCCUUUCCGGGGCUUAGUGCCGGAGCUAACGCAAUAAGCACUCCGCCUGGGGAGUACGACCGCAAGGUUGAAACUCAAAGGAAUUGACGGGGGCCCGCACAAGCGGUGGAGCAUGUGGUUUAAUUCGAAGCAACGCGAAGAACCUUACCAGGUCUUGACAUCCCGAUGCUAUUCUUAGAGAUAGGAAGUUACUUCGGUACAUCGGAGACAGGUGGUGCAUGGUUGUCGUCAGCUCGUGUCGUGAGAUGUUGGGUUAAGUCCCGCAACGAGCGCAACCCUUAUUGUUAGUUGCCAUCAUUAAGUUGGGCACUCUAGCGAGACUGCCGGUAAUAAACCGGAGGAAGGUGGGGAUGACGUCAAAUCAUCAUGCCCCUUAUGACCUGGGCUACACACGUGCUACAAUGGUCGGUACAACGAGUUGCGAGCCGGUGACGGCAAGCUAAUCUCUGAAAGCCGAUCUCAGUUCGGAUUGGAGGCUGCAACUCGCCUCCAUGAAGUCGGAAUCGCUAGUAAUCGCGGAUCAGCACGCCGCGGUGAAUACGUUCCCGGGCCUUGUACACACCGCCCGUCACACCACGAGAGUUUGUAACACCCGAAGUCGGUGAGGUANCCUUUUAGG